UGAGAGUCGGUUAGUCGAUACGAGCGCACCCUAUCCUUAGUUGCCAGCACGUAAUGGUGGAGACUCGAGGGAAACUGCCCGGGAUAACCGGAAGGAAGGUGGGGUCGACGUCAAGUCAGUAUGUCCCUUACGUUCAGGGCUACACACGUAAUACAAUGGGGAGUACAGAGGGUAGCAAUACUGCGAAGUGGAGCCAAUCCCAAAAAACUCCCCCAAGUUCGGAUUGUUCUCUGCAACUCGAGAGCAUGAAGUUGGAAUUGCUAGUAAUCGUGGAUCAGCAUGCCACGGUGAAUACGUUCCCGGGUCUUGUACACACCGCCCGUCACACCAUGGGAGUUGGUUUUACCUGAAGCCGAUUUUUAAUCGUCCACGGUAAGGUCAGCGACUGGGGUGAAGUCGUAACAAGGUAGCCGUAGGGGAACCUGCGGCUGGAACACCUCCUUUCU
rnacentral:rRNA from 1 species